rnacentral:rRNA from 1 species
UACGGGGGGAGCAAGCGUUGUUCGGAUUUACUGGGCGUAAAGGGCGCGUAGGCGGUCGUGACAAGUCACUUGUGAAAUCUCCGGGCUUAACUCGGAACGGUCAAGUGAUACUGUCGGACUAGAGUACAGAAGGGGCAACUGGAAUUCUCGGUGUAGCGGUGAAAUGCGUAGAUAUCGAGAGGAACACCAGUGGCGAAGGCGGCUUCCUGGCCUGUUCUUGACGCUGAGGCGCGAAAGCUAGGGGAGCAAACGGG